rnacentral:rRNA from 1 species
UCCCCCUUGGGGCGACAGAGCRACAGGUGSUGCAUGGUUGUCGUCAGCUCGUGUCGUGAGAUGUUGGGUUAAGUCCCGCAACGAGCGCAACCCUUGAUCUUAGUUGCCAGCAUUUAGUUGGGCACUCUAAGGUGACUGCCGGUGACAAACCGGAGGAAGGUGGGGAUGACGUCAAAUCAUCAUGCCCCUUAUGACCUGGGCUACACACGUGCUACAAUGGAUGGUACAAAGGGCUGCAAGACCGCGAGGUCAAGCCAAUCCCAUAAAACCAUUCUCAGUUCGGAUUGUAGGCUGCAACUCGCCUACAUGAAGCUGGAAUCGCUAGUAAUCGCGGAUCAGCAUGCCGCGGUGAAUACGUUCCCGGGCCUUGUACACACCGCCCGUCACACCACGAGAGUUUGUAACACCCGAAGUCGGUGGAGUAACCGUAAGGAGCUAGCCGCCUAAGGUGGGACAGAUGAUUGGGGGAAGUCGAACAAGAGCA